UACGUAGGGUGCAAGCGUUGUCCGGAAUUAUUGGGCGUAAAGAGCUCGUAGGCGGUUUGUCGCGUCUGCUGUGAAAACUCGGGGCUUAACUCCGGGCCUGCAGUGGGUACGGGCAGACUAGAGUGCGGUAGGGGAGACUGGAAUUCCUGGUGUAGCGGUGAAAUGCGCAGAUAUCAGGAGGAACACCGGUGGCGAAGGCGGGUCUCUGGGCCGUAACUGACGCUGAGGCGCGAGAGCGUGGGGAGCGAACCGG
rnacentral:rRNA from 1 species